rnacentral:rRNA from 1 species
GGCAACGAUCAGUAGGGGUUCUGAGAGGAAGGUCCCCCACAUUGGAACUGAGACACGGUCCAAACUCCUACGGGAGGCAGCAGUGAGGAAUAUUGGUCAAUGGACGAGAGUCUGAACCAGCCAAGUAGCGUGCAGGAAGACGGCCCUAUGGGUUGUAAACUGCUUUUAUAAGGGAAUAAAGUGAGAGUCGUGACUCUUUUUGCAUGUACCUUAUGAAUAAGGACCGGCUAAUUCCGUGCCAGCAGCCGCGGUAAUACGGAAGGUCCGGGCGUUAUCCGGAUUUAUUGGGUUUAAAGGGAGCGUAGGCCGGAGAUUAAGCGUGUUGUGAAAUGUAGACGCUCAACGUCUGCACUGCAGCGCGAACUGGUUUCCUUGAGUACGCACAAAGUGGGCGGAAUUCGUGGUGUAGCGGUGAAAUGCUUAGAUAUCACAAAGAACUCCGAUUGCGAAGGCAGCUCACUGGAGCGCAACUGACGCUGAAGCUCGAAAGUGCGGGUAUCGAACAGGAUUAGAUACCCUGGUAGUCCGCACGGUAAACGAUGGAUGCCCGCUGUUGGUCUGAAUAGGUCAGCGGCCAAGCGAAAGCAUUAAGCAUCCCACCUGGGGAGUACGCCGGCAACGGUGAAACUCAAAGGAAUUGACGGGGGCCCGCACAAGCGGAGGAACAUGUGGUUUAAUUCGAUGAUACGCGAGGAACCUUACCCGGGCUUGAAUUGCAGAGGAAGGAUUUGGAGACAAUGACGCCCUUCGGGGCCUCUGUGAAGGUGCUGCAUGGUUGUCGUCAGCUCGUGCCGUGAGGUGUCGGCUUAAGUGCCAUAACGAGCGCAACCCCUCUCCUUAGUUGCCAUCAGGUUAAGCUGGGCACUCUGGGGACACUGCCACCGUAAGGUGUGAGGAAGGUGGGGAUGACGUCAAAUCAGCACGGCCCUUACGUCCGGGGCUACACACGUGUUACAAUGGCAGGUACAGAGAGACGGUCCCUUGCAAAACGGAUCAAAUCCUUAAAGCCUGUCUCAGUUCGGACUGGGGUCUGCAACCCGACCCCACGAAGCUGGAUUCGCUAGUAAUCGCGCAUCAGCCAUGGCGCGGUGAAUACGUUCCCGGGCCUUGUACACACCGCCCGUCAAGCCAUGAAAGCCGGGGGCGCCUAAAGUCCGUGACCGUAAGGAGCGGCCUAGGGCGAAACUGGUAAUUGGGGCUAAGUCGUAACAAGGUA